UACGGAGGGAGCAAGCGUUACUCGGAAUUAUUGGGCGUAAAGGGCGCGUAGGCGAUUUGAAAAGUCUUGUGUGAAAGCCCCGAGCUUAACUCGGGAAGUGCACAAGAAACUGUUGAAUUUGAGUUCCGGAGAGGAAGGCAGAAUUCCCGGUGUAGCGGUGAAAUGCGUAGAUAUCGGGAGGAAUACCAGUGGCGAAGGCGGCCUUCUGGACGGAUACUGACGCUGAGGCGCGAAAGCCAGGGAGCAAACGGG
rnacentral:rRNA from 1 species